CGGAGCUGAGGAUGAUUUAAAGUUAUCCCUGUCGGAAAGGGCUUCCUCUGUGAAGAGUUCUGACCUGCUGAGGCUCAG
ensembl:snoRNA small nucleolar RNA R38